rnacentral:tRNA from 1 species
GGUGGGGUAAAUACAGGCAAAACAGACUCAAAAUCUGGUAUGGGCAACCAUGUGUGGGUUCGAGUCCCACCCCAGGCACCA